UUAUAGUAACAAGGAGGAGCAGAAAUGGAGGAGAGGAUGUAAGUAUUGAUAGUAUCAUUUCCAUCCUCUCCUUCAUUUCUCCUCCUCCUUAUUAAUGUAAA